AUGUCCAAAAGAAAGGCUAAAGGGGAUGCUAAAGGAGACAAAACCAAGGUGAAGGACAAGCCACAGAGACCCGAAAGGUUGUCUGCUAAACCUGCUCCUCCAAAGCCAGAGCCCACACCUAAAAAGGCCCCCGAGAAGAAGGGAGAGAAGGUACCCAAGGGGAGGAAGGGGAAAGCCAACGCUGGGAAGGACGCAAAUAAUCCUGCAGAAAAUGGAGAUGCCAAAAGAGACCAGGCACAGAAAGCCUAA
rnacentral:lncRNA from 1 species